rnacentral:rRNA from 1 species
AGUGAACGCUGGCGGUAGGCCUAACACAUGCAAGUCGAACGGCAGCACAGUAAGAGCUUGCUCUUACGGGUGGCGAGUGGCGGACGGGUGAGGAAUACAUCGGAAUCUACUUUUUCGUGGGGGAUAACGUAGGGAACCUUACGCUAAUACCGCAUACGACCUACGGGUGAAAGCAGGGGAUCUUCGGACCUUGCGCGAUUGAAUGAGCCGAUGUCGGAUUAGCUAGUUGGCAGGGUAAAGGCCCACCAAGGCGACGAUCCGUAGCUGGUCUGAGAGGAUGAUCAGCCACACUGGAACUGAGACACGGUCCAGACUCCUACGGGAGGCAGCAGUGGGGAAUAUUGGACAAUGGGCGCAAGCCUGAUCCAGCCAUACCGCGUGGGUGAAGAAGGCCUUCGGGUUGUAAAGCCCUUUUGUUGGGAAAGAAAAGCAGCAGGUUAAUACCCCGCUGUUCUGACGGUACCCAAAGAAUAAGCACCGGCUAACUUCGUG